rnacentral:rRNA from 1 species
UCGAGCGAGCAUAUUAGCGGAAGUUUUCGGAUGGAAGCGGAUAUGACUUAGCGGCGGACGGGUGAGUAACGCGUGGAUAACCUGCCUCAUACAGGGGGAUAACAGUUAGAAAUGACUGCUAAUACCGCAUAAGCGCACAGGACCGCAUGGUCCGGUGUGAAAAACUCCGGUGGUAUGGGAUGGAUCCGCGUCUGAUUAGCUGGUUGGUGAGGUAACGGCCCACCAAGGCGACGAUCAGUAGCCGACCUGAGAGGGUGGCCGGCCACAUUGGGACUGAGACACGGCCCAAACUCCUACGGGAGGCAGCAGUGGGGAAUAUUGCACAAUGGGGGAAACCCUGAUGCAGCAACGCCGCGUGAGUGAAGAAGUAUUUCGGUAUGUAAAGCUCUAUCAGCAGGGAAGAAGAAAGACGGUACCUGACUAAGAAGCCCCGGCUAACUACGUGCCAUCAGCCGCGGUAAUACGUAGGGGGCAAGCGUUAUCCGGAUUUACUGGGUGU